GCCGCCGUAGCUCAGCUGGCAGAGCGCCGGACUCAUACGAUCCGGAGGUCCCGGGUUCAAAUCCCGGCGGCGGCACCA
rnacentral:tRNA from 1 species